GGUGAGAUGGCCGAGUUGGUUAUGGCGCCAGGUUAAGGUUACCUUAACAUUACAUCCUGGUCACGAAAGUGGCGUGGGUUCGAGUCCCACUCUCAUCA
rnacentral:tRNA from 1 species